rnacentral:rRNA from 1 species
GCCUAAUACAUGCAAGUUGAGCGCUGAAGGUUGGUACUUGUACCAACUGGAUGAGCAGCGAACGGGUGAGUAACGCGUGGGGAAUCUGCCUUUGAGCGGGGGACAACAUUUGGAAACGAAUGCUAAUACCGCAUAAAAACUUUAAACACAAGUUUUAAGUUUGAAAGAUGCAAUUGCAUCACUCAAAGAUGAUCCCGCGUUGUAUUAGCUAGUUGGUGAGGUAAAGGCUCACCAAGGCGAUGAUACAUAGCCGACCUGAGAGGGUGAUCGGCCACAUUGGGACUGAGACACGGCCCAAACUCCUACGGGAGGCAGCAGUAGGGAAUCUUCGGCAAUGGACGAAAGUCUGACCGAGCAACGCCGCGUGAGUGAAGAAGGUUUUCGGAUCGUAAAACUCUGUUGGUAGAGAAGAACGUUGGUGAGAGUGGAAAGCUCAUCAAGUGACGGUAACUACCCAGAAAGGGACGGCUAA